rnacentral:tRNA from 2 species
GCAUCCAUGGCUGAAUGGUGAAAGCGCCCAACCUAUACAAGGGGCAAAUUCGUAGGUUCGAUUCCUGCUGGAUGCG